rnacentral:rRNA from 1 species
GCUUGCUCCUCUGACGUUAGCGGCGGACGGGUGAGUAACACGUGGAUAACCUACCUAUAAGACUGGGAUAACUUCGGGAAACCGGAGCUAAUACCGGAUAAUAUAUUGAACCGCAUGGUUCAAUAGUGAAAGACGGUUUUGCUGUCACUUAUAGAUGGAUCCGCGCCGCAUUAGCUAGUUGGUAAGGUAACGGCUUACCAAGGCAACGAUGCGUAGCCGACCUGAGAGGGUGAUCGGCCACACUGGAACUGAGACACGGUCCAGACUCCUACGGGAGGCAGCAGUAGGGAAUCUUCCGCAAUGGGCGAAAGCCUGACGGAGCAACGCCGCGUGAGUGAUGAAGGUCUUCGGAUCGUAAAACUCUGUUAUUAGGGAAGAACAAAUGUGUAAGUAACUAUGCACGUCUUGACGGUACCUAAUCAGAAAGCCACGGCUAACUACGUGCCAGCAGCCGCGGUAAUACGUAGGUGGCAAGCGUUAUCCGGAAUUAUUGGGCGUAAAGCGCGCGUAGGCGGUUUUUUAAGUCUGAUGUGAAAGCCCACGGCUCAACCGUGGAGGGUCAUUGGAAACUGGAAAACUUGAGUGCAGAAGAGGAAAGUGGAAUUCCAUGGGUUUAGCGGUGAAAAGUAG